ensembl:lncRNA
AGAGCAGGAACAGGGAGAAACGAGGACGCAGCAACCUGGCUGGUGACACUGAUAUUGCUCCCCCCUCCCCCGCCACGCCGGUAUAAAUCCCCAGUGGCCGGCCAGCCCGCCUGCCAGCCCACCAUGCUCUCAAGAGGCAGCCCACUGACCCCGGCCCGGAUCCCGCCCUUCCAGCUCCCAGCCCACAGUCAGCGCCCUUGGAGCACCAGCCGGGGGCUGCAGCCAUCAGACGGGGGACCUGUCCUGCUCCACGUGCCCACGGUCACUGCAGCCUACAGGUUCCAGGUGCUGGCCCAGAGGCCCCAGGUGCUGUCUGCUGAGGCCCCGCUCUGGGGGACAUCACCAGAGAUCCCUGCAGACCGCAGCUGGAGCCUGGACCAAACCGAGAUUCCCGGCACACCGCCCCAUGGCAGAUUCCAGAAUCUCUCGAAGGUCUGCCACCCACAGCCCCUGGAGCCCUCACUCCAACCCGGAGCACCAGGGACACCGCAGAGCCCUGCAGCCCCCCAGGGCGAUCCGGGCAUGGCUGUCCACCCCCAGGAUCCUGGCCAGUGACACAGGAGAGGACUCCAGUUCCGCGUGGACAUGGAUGUAAAAAUAAGAAGUUUUGGUCAACUUUGCAAAUGGGGGGUUGGGUGGAGAAGGGGUCUUCGAUCCCUGGGGCUGUUGGUUUAAGCUCAGGCUCGCCCAGGUGAGACUGACGAUGCCCCUGCCCCGGGGGUCUGGCCCUCCUGCUUCCCACUUCCCCCUGCAGCUCCAAUCCCACCUGGAGCCUCCACUAUCCACAGAAAUAGGUCCCCCUGCCACCUCCUCAUCAGACUGGGAGCUUCAUGGGGGUAGGCUCUGAUGCUCAAUAAACGUCCUCUGCUGGCG